UUACACAAAUGUAUUUAAGGAAACAUCAAUUAACCUAUAAAAGAACCAAGCGGAAGAAUUUUUCAGUCAGUACACACGCGAACAUUCAAAAUGAAAUUGUAUCUGUUAACCAUUGGCAUCUUUCUUUCGAUUGCGCUAUGUUCGUGCAACGAUAAAAUUGCUGUUACGCCAGCAAAGACCAACCAGUGCUCCUGUACUAAACCAAAACCUGUUAGGCCACGAUUUGUAUGCUACAAUAUCAAUCAAUUGCUUCCAUUCUGUCCACCAUGCAUUGAGCCAUGCUUUGCAACGUGUCCGUGCAUAUUCCCCGAUGCGGCUCAAACCAUCAUUAAUCCACAGCCCGCAACCGAGCGGCCACCGUACUGUCCAAAAUGUGAGGUGCAUGUGAAUUGUAUUGUUGCAGCGUGCUUUAGCGGACCACAACCGUGCACUGCUGAAUAUGUUCAAAAAUUGGUCAAUGAAAGAUAGAGUGAAAUUUGUUGCCCUUUAAAUUCAAAUUCACUUUUUUGAUAUCAAAUUUGUGAUAAAAAUCCAUCAGUGAAUUUGAUGGGUAGGUAAAACGUUGUCCGUAUUGGCAGAACAAGAAUGUUACGAACACAAAGUUGAAAGCAAUAAAUCAUGCAUUGUCUACCAUCGAAAAGAAA